GAGCUGGCAUGUCAGUUAACUGCUAGUAGUCUGUUGUUAUUUAUGUAUUAUUGUCAUUUUGUUUAUUUUCUUUGGUUACAUCUUCUGACAUCAGACUCAGAUUUCUCUUGAACUGAAUUUUAAUGUGCGUAUUGUUAUGCGUUUACUUUACUACAUUGGUUAGAGGUAUAGGGGGAGGGUUGAGAUCUCAUAAACAUGUUUAACCCCGCCGCAUUUUUGCGCCUGUCCCAAGUCAGGAGCCUCUGGCCUUUGUUAGUCUUGUAUUAUUUCAAUUUUAGUUUCUUGUGUACAAUUUGGAAAUUAGUAUGGCGUU
rnacentral:lncRNA from 1 species